rnacentral:lncRNA from 1 species
UGUUUUAGUGCCAUUUCCCCUCAGAGAUGAUCUCCAGGCAGCUGUCUCUUUUCUUUUAGUGUCAUUUCCCUCACAGAUGAUCUCCAUGCAGGUGUCUCUUUUAUUUUGGUGCCAUUUCCCUCAGAGAUCAUCUCCAGGAUCUCCAGGCAGGUGUCUCUUUUAUUUUACUGCCAUAUCCCUCAGAUAUCAUCUCCAGGCAGGUGUCUCUUUUUUUUUAACAGCAUUUCCCCUCACAGAUGAUCUUCAGGAUCUCCAGGCAGGUGUCUCUUUUAUUUUACUGCCAUAUCCCUCAGAUAUCAUCUCCAGG